AGUUAUCAAAGUUUUGUGUUACCAUUGUUCAAAACUAUUGGAUCAGUGUAUCCAGAGGUACCAAGUCUCAAUGCUUCUCCCUCAGGUGUAACUGCCCCAAAAUCAGCUAGUAUGGGAGUAAAAUCCUGUGGCCAUUAAUUAUGCAGAACCAAUUAGAGAAGUGUGCAUGGAAAUUAAAAUCAAACUAAAGCAUAAAUAAAUGGAUUUUAAUUAUAUUAAAUUCAUGGGGUUUUCUAUUUUCUAAUCUAACCUUAUCCAACAAAA
rnacentral:misc_RNA from 1 species